AAACGAUUGAAGUCAGUCGUGUUUGUUGGUUUCAGCUGUCUCUGACAGUGUAUUACCUUCAAACGGGUCAACAUCGGUUAGACUCGGCGGAUAAAGGCAGGAGGAAGGUGGCACCCUCGGGUGUGUUAUAGCCUCUUGUUGCAUACGCUGGGUUUGACCGAGGCUUGCGGUGUGCCUCACGGCGACCUUUACGGUUCUACACACCUAGGAUGUUGGCAAAAUGGCUUUAAACGA
rnacentral:rRNA from 1 species